rnacentral:rRNA from 1 species
GCAGCCGCGGUAAUUCCAGCUCCAAUAGCGUAUAUUAAAGUUGUUGCAGUUAAAAAGCUCGUAGUUGAAUUUCGGGAUCAAUUUAUCGGUCGUGCCUCUGGUAUGCACUGGUAUUAUUGAUUUCUACCUUCUGACGAACCAUGAUGUCAUUAAUUUGGUGUCAUGGGGAAUCAGGACUGUUACUUUGAAAAAAUUAGAGUGUUUAAAGCAAGCACACGCUUGAAUACAUUAGCAUGGAAUAAUGAAAUAGGACGUUUGACCCUAUUUUGUUGGUUUCUAGGAUCGACGUAAUGAUUAAUAGGGAUAGUUGGG